rnacentral:lncRNA from 1 species
GUCCACACCUCGCAAUUCGCUGGCCUCCAGAGCAGGUGUAUAGGGGGGUUCGUCCCCCAAGGCUGGGAAAGUGUGAGUUCCUACCAGGUUGAUGGAAGAUGAAUGUGGGUCCUGACUGUUGGGGUCAAAUGUCAGGCUGCUGGAGAACUCAAGAUCCCAUCUUCACCCUCUUCCCAAGCCUCUAAUCUGAUCAGAAACUUAAAAGUCUGAGAUAAGGCUGUCAGCCUGCAAGAGAGCCCAGAGCAAAGGAGGGAGGAAAGGAGGGAGACCUGGGGAGGACGAGGCACCCAGCACCUUCGCACCUCCUGGGGAGGCAGGUCUGGAACCCUGGAGGAGAUCAUGCAGCCCAUAAGCCCCUACAGCAGCUGGUUGGUGUGGAAACCGUCUCACUUUGCCCAGGGAGGAACACCAAGCCUCCAGGUGAAAAGUGAGAAGAAAAUCAUCACUUUCAUGCUGAGAACACCUCUCCCAAGCACGUGUCCCCCAGAGCACAGGGAAGCCGGAAGCACCGUCAAGGUGGACACACACCUGUAAAAGGGUCUCUCAUCUCUAGGCCCCGGGAUGCCAUGCCAGUUUGCAUCUGUGUGAGGAGGGAGUAAAGUGGGGCCACCUCAACCGUGUGACUUUCACCAUUCUCAACCGUGUGACUUUCACCAUUACGGAUUCAUUUGUUUGGGUCUUGAAGGAAGGGCCUCAGGUGCAUUCUGGAACCCUGAGGACAGGGGAGGGGUCACAGGGCUGAGCUGACAUUAUUAGAGGAAAUCUUUUUCCUCUCACUUUC